CCUACGGGCGGCAGCAGUGGGGAAUAUUGCUCAAUGGGGGCAACCCUGAAGCAGCAACGCCGCGUGAGGGAUGAAGGAUUUCGGGAUGUAAACCUCUUUUUAUAGAGAAGAAAAUGACGGUACCUGACGCAUAAGCACCGGCUAACUCCGUGCCAGCAGCCGCGGUAAUACGGAGGGAGCAAGCGUUAUCCGGAGGUACUGGGCGUAAAGCGAGCGUAGACGGGUGAGCAAGUCAGUUGUGAAAUUCUACGGCUCAACCAUAGAACUGCAUUUGAAACUGUCAGUCUAGAGUACAGUAGAGGUAGGUGGAAUUCGUGGUGUAGCGGUGAAAUGCGUAGAGAUCAGGAGGAACACUGAUUGCGAAGGCGACCUACUAGAAUGUAACUGACGUUGAUGCGCGAAAGUGUGGGGAGCAAACAGGAUUAGAUACCCGGGUAGUC
rnacentral:rRNA from 1 species